GACCGGCCCUGCAGAAUUGGGAACGCUUGAUGAAAAAAGUAUUGAGCCCUCGGUAUCCACGAUUCGUCAGAACAGCCAGCGCCAAAAAAGCCAAGACUCCCCGGCGAAAAACGGCACAGAAGGCCACAUACAGCUGGAGGAUUCCGGCUCACCGAACAUUCCCAAUGAAACAACCAAAGCGGAGGAUAUCCCUGUUUUUAAUGACAUUUCAGAGGUUGACGACCAGUUAUUCUGUGAUGCGGCCAACCGUCUUGACCCCGACAAUUCUAUGGCGUCAACAUCAGGAUCUGAAAUAGAACAAGCAAGGUUUUUUUUCACAGUCUUUUUAAUUCUAGGUAUUUACAUGUAUGUUUUUAAAAAUGUAGACUAUUUAUACAAAGAAACAAGGUUUUUUAUUCACACUGUUUGUAAACAAUAGCUUCUGCCCUCUUAGGGUCAACAUGACGCGCUUAUUCAUUAGAAAGUAUGAUUAGAAACCAAGGCCAUCUAUAUUCAAUCUGUGAUUAGAAACGAUAAUUAGAAGCUAUGACAAAACUAUGAAGACAGGGCGGUGUGUUCGUGAAUGAUGACAUAUUAUUUAAGUGUGGAAUAUAUUCUCUCUCUCUCUCAGGCAUAUAUAUUUGAUACAAUUACCCACUUUAAAAACUGUUGCUGCAAUAUCACUUCUCAAUGUGUGUACAUUUCAAGCUUUCAACAACAAUAAACCAACCAGCUCAAUAAUGUUUCUCAGA